rnacentral:misc_RNA from 1 species
GGGGUUUAACGAAAAAGGCAUGCUGGGCUACAAGCAUUGAUACAAUAGUUGCAAAUGGUUUCUCUAUCCACUUGGUUUCGAUACAUAGCUCACAAGUUCGAGUAUUCCCUCUCUCUCAGCUGGAAGAGCUAUAAGAGAGGUCAAAUCAGUGACAGAGAAGUUGGUGAUGCAGUAUGGAAAAAUCUAUUUCAGGGGAGGUUGACUUAUUUACACUGGAAUAAAGGACAAGAAAUGACUCCAACAAUAGGAGAUCAAGGGGGAACUCUACUUGUUCGGAAAUUACCAGCUGCAGAUCCAACGCGAGUUUUUGUUGGAGAUGUUGUGGUUGUGAAGGAUCCUGAGAAUUCAGACAACUAUCUAGUCAGAAGGUUAGCUGCGAUUGAAGGGUAUGAAAUGUUGUCUACUGAUGAGAAGGAUGAACCUUUUGUUCUUGAAAAGGAUCAGUGUUGGGUUUUGGCUGACAAUGAGAAGUUGAAGCCCACGGAAGCAAACGACAGUCGAAUAUUGGGUCCAGUUCCCAUGACGGACAUA